rnacentral:rRNA from 1 species
UACGAAGGGGGCUAGCGUUGUUCGGAUUUACUGGGCGUAAAGCGCACGUAGGCGGAUCGAUCAGUCAGGGGUGAAAUCCCAGAGCUCAACUCUGGAACUGCCUUUGAUACUGUCGAUCUGGAGUAUGGAAGAGGUGAGUGGAAUUCCGAGUGUAGAGGUGAAAUUCGUAGAUAUUCGGAGGAACACCAGUGGCGAAGGCGGCUCACUGGUCCAUUACUGACGCUGAGGUGCGAAAGCGUGGGGGAGCAAACAGG